AGUGAACGCUGGCGGUAGGCCUAACACAUGCAAGUCGAACGGCAGCACAGUAAGAGCUUGCUCUUACGGGUGGCGAGUGGCGGACGGGUGAGGAAUACAUCGGAAUCUACUUUUUCGUGGGGGAUAACGUAGGGAAACUUACGCUAAUACCGCAUACGACCUACGGGUGAAAGCAGGGGAUCUUCGGACCUUGCGCGAUUGAAUGAGCCGAUGUCGGAUUAGCUAGUUGGCGGGGUAAAGGCCCACCAAGGCGACGAUCCGUAGCUGGUCUGAGAGGAUGAUCCGCCACACUGGAACUGAGACACGGUCCAGACUCCUACGGGAGGCAGCAGUGGGGAAUAUUGGACAAUGGGCGCAAGCCUGAUCCAGCCAUACCGCGUGAGUGAAGAAGGCCUUCGGGUUGUAAAGCCCUUUUGUUGGGAAAGAAAAGAAGCAGGUUAAUACCCCGCUGUUCUGACGGUACCCAAAGAAUAAGCACCGGCUAACUUCGUG
rnacentral:rRNA from 1 species